rnacentral:rRNA from 1 species
GACGUAGGAAGCAAGCGUUGUCCGGAAUUACUGGGCGUAAAGAGCUCGUAGGCGGGACCGUAAGUCCGAGAGGAAAUCUCAAGGCUCAACUUUGGGGCUUUCUUGGAUACUGCGGUUCUUGAGGAUAUCAGAGGAUAGUAGAAUUCCCGGUGUAGCGGUGAAAUGCGUAGAUAUCGGGAGGAAUACCAGUGGCGAAGGCGACUGUCUGGGAUAUUCCUGACGCUGAGGAGCGAAAGCGUGGGGAGCAAACGGG